AUGCUUUGUAUUGAUGUAUUGGUACGGAAUUUAGAAGCUUCAUGCUUUGUAUCUCAGUAUGUUCACAGUGGCUUCAAUCUACAAUUUAAAAAGAGAACCGGUUCAGAUAAAUGCGAACACUGGUUGGGGGUUCUAAGAAGGAUGACCCAAAAUGGGAGCAUGACAGACACCAUGGUCCAGGAAAUAAGGGGGAAUCCCGUGGUGUCUACUAUGCUUUCAGAAAUCCUAUGCAGUCAGGGAGAUUCCUUUAGAUUUUUGCAUGAUGAGCAGAUAGAUGUAAAGGGUCGUGGUGUCUACUAUGCUUUUCAGAAAGGAUUUACUAUAUUUUUGCAGCAGGCUACAUGCUUCUCUGAAUGA
rnacentral:rRNA from 1 species